AGGGUGAUAGCUCAGUGGUAGAGCCCCUGCUCAGCAUGCAGAAGGUUCCAGGUUCGGUCCUCAAUGGCACCCUUGCUACGCCA